AGUGAGUGACGUCACACUGCCAAGAAAAGCUUCUAGUUAGAAUCAGACCGCCCGUACCGCAAACCGACACAGGUAGUCGGGUCGAGAAGACCAAGGUGAGCGAGAGAACUCUCGUUAAGGAACUCGGCAAAAUGACCCCGUAACUUCGGGAGAAGGGGUGCUGAUCGCAAGAUCAGCCGCAGUGAAUAGGCCCAGGCGACUGUUUAUCAAAAACACAGGUUUCUGCAAAAUCGUAAGAUGAAGUAUAGGGGCUGACGCCUGCCCGGUGCUGGAAGGUUAAGAGGAUGGGUUAGCGCAAGCGAAGCUCAGAAUUGAAGCCCCAGUAAACGGCGGCCGUAACAAUAACGGUCCUAAGGUAGCGAAAUUCCUUGUCGGGUAAGUUCCGACCCGCACGAAAGGCGUAACGAUCUGGGCACUGUCUCAACGAGAGACUCGGUGAAAUUAUAAUACCCGUGAAGAUGCGGGUUACCCGCGACAGGACGGAAAGACCCCAUGGAGCUUUACUGUAGCUUGAUAUUGGGUGUUUGUACAACUUGUACAGGAUAGGUAGGAGCCGUAGAAGUCGGGACGCUAGUUUCGACGGAGGCAUCGGUGGGAUACUACCCUCGUUGUAUGAACACUCUAACCCACGCCGGCAAUCACGGCGGGAGACAGUGUCAGGUGGGCAGUUUGACUGGGGCGGUCGCCUCCUAAAAGGUAACGGAGGCGCCCAAAGGUUCCCUCAGAAUGGUUGGAAAUCAUUCGCAGAGUGUAAAGGCAUAAGGGAGCUUGACUGCGAGACCUACAAGUCGAGCAGGGACGAAAGUCGGGCUUAGUGAUCCGGUGGUUCCGCAUGGAAGGGCCAUCGCUCAACGGAUAAAAGCUACCCUGGGGAUAACAGGCUUAUCUCCCCCAAGAGUCCACAUCGACGGGGAGGUUUGGCACCUCGAUGUCGGCUCAUCGCAUCCUGGGGCUGUAGUCGGUCCCAAGGGUUGGGCUGUUCGCCCAUUAAAGCGGUACGCGAGCUGGGUUCAGAACGUCGUGAGACAGUUCGGUCCCUAUCCGUCGCGGGCGCAGGAAAUUUGAGAGGAUCUGUCCUUAGUACGAGAGGACCGGGAUGGACAUACCGCUGGUGUACCAGUUGUUCUGCCAAGGGCAUCGCUGGGUAGCUAUGUAUGGAUGAGAUAAACGCUGAAAGCAUCUAAGUGCGAAACUCACCUCGAGAUGAGAUUUCCCACUCCUUUAUGGAGUUAAGACCCC
rnacentral:rRNA from 1 species